rnacentral:rRNA from 1 species
UACGGAGGGUGCAAGCGUUAUCCGGAUUCACUGGGCUUAAAGGGUGCGUAGGUGGGUUGGUAAGUCAGUGGUGAAAUCUCCGAGCUUAACUUGGAAACUGCCAUUGAUACUAUCAGUCUUGAAUAUUGUGGAGGUCAGCGGAAUAUGUCAUGUAGCGGUGAAAUGCUUAGAUAUGACAUAGAACACCAAUUGCGAAGGCAGCUGGCUGCACAUAUAUUGACACUGAGGCACGAAAGCGUGGGGAGCAAACGGG